rnacentral:rRNA from 1 species
GUGCCAGCAGCCGCGGUAAUUCCAGCUCCAAUAGCGUAUAUUAAAGUUGUUGUGGUUAAAAAGCUCGUAGUUGAACCUUGGGCCUGGCUGGCCGGUCCGCCUCACCGCGUGCACUGGUCCGGCCGGGCCUUUCCCUCUGUGGAACCCCAUACCCUUCACUGGGCGUGGCGGGGAAACAGGACAUUUACUUUGAAAAAAUUAGAGUGCUCCAGGCAGGCCUAUGCUCGAAUACAUUAGCAUGGAAUAAUAAAAUAGGACGCGCGGUUCUAUUUUGUUGGUUUAUAGGACCGCCGUAAUGAUUAAUAGGGACAGUCGGGGGCAUCAGUAUUCAACUGUCAGAGGUGAAAUUCUUGGAUCAGUUGAAGACUAACUACUGCGAAAGCAUUUGCCAAGGAUGUUUUCAUUAAUCAGGAACGAAAGUUAGGGGAUCGAAGACGAUCAGAUACCGUCGUAGUCUUAACCAUAAACUAUGCCGACUAGGGAUCGGACGGUGUUAUUCAUGACCCGUUCGGCACCUUACGAGAAAUCAAAGUGCUUGGGCUUCAGGGGGAGUAUGGUCGCAAGGCUGAAACCUAAAGAAAUUGACGGAAGGGCACCACCAGGGGUGGAGCCUGCGGCUUAAUUUGACUCAACACGGGGAAACUCACCAGGUCCAGACACAAUAAGGAUUGACAGAUUGAGAGCUCUUUCUUGAUUUUGUGGUGGUGAUGCAUGGACGUUCUUAGUUGGUGGGGUGACUUGUCUGCUUAAUUGCGAUAACGAACGAGACCUUAACCUGCUAAAUAGCCCGCAUUGCUCCGGCAGUGCGCUGGCUUCUUAGAGGGACUUUCGGCUCAAGCCGAAGGAAGU